rnacentral:lncRNA from 1 species
UCUAACUCUGCUUUCUUUACCAGGUAGCAUUUGUCUCCACGGUUGGAAGACUGCUGCUGCAGCACAGACUGGUGUCUCUAUUAAUAGAUAUCUCAGUUGCACUACAGACAGGAAGAAGGGCAAAGGGGAAGAACACGAUGGCUUUUAGCAGCCUGACGCCUUGGUUUUUAGUUUCUGUCUCUAGUGACAGGUGGAAAAGAAGGAUGAGGAAGGGGCUUUACUGGCCCAACCAGAAAUAGUAACUAAGAACCCAUGACUGUAUUCUCUCCCUUGGACACCCCUGGGAAGCUCUGUACUGAAAAAAAAUGAAAGCCUUCCAGAUGUGUUCUGCUAUGGUCCACAGGCUGGAGGGUGCAUGGAACCCACCCAGAGGUGCUCUGCAAUCAGCAAUUCAGUGAGCCAUUCACAGUCCAACCAGUUGCCUUCUGAUGAGAAUGCAUCACACCGCAUGUGGGGAGGGCCAUGUGGGAAUUCUCACACCUGUUGCCUAGAUGCCUGUGUCUGGUUAGAACCACUGCAUGCUUUCUUUCAGUCUACAUUGAAUACGUCUUUGCUGCUCUGGGAUCCAUCCUCCAGUCUUCAGUCAGCUAAGAAAAUGACCUGUGGGCACGUUGGCUUCCUUUCUUCGGAUUAAGUGGUUGUUCAGAGAGAGGCUGAGUCUGAUUGUUUACACAAGAAGGAAGUGAACACUGGCUGUGUGCCUGGCACUGUUAGGAGCCAUCAAACCAUGUCCAGAAAGGACGCAGGGAAAGGAGAUGUCGAUGUUUCCAGACAUUUUGUGAUGUGAAGAGAGCGCCUGAAGGUUUUUGAUGAUGCUUAACUCACGUGCUUUGCUUAAAGAACUGCAGGGACUGACCUGAAACGCUAAGCAUGGAAUCCAGGUUGCAGAACAUCCCACUCUGGAAAGAAGG